UGGGGAAUAUUGCACAAUGGGCGAAAGCCUGAUGCAGCGACGCCGCGUGAGGGAUGACGGCCUUCGGGUUGUAAACCUCUUUCAGCAGGGAAGAAGCCACAAGUGACGGUACCUGCAGAAGAAGCGCCGGCUAACUACGUGCCAGCAGCCGCGGGAAUACGUAGGGCGCAAGCGUUGUCCGGAAUUAUGGGGCGUAAAGAGCUCGUAGGCGGUUUGUCGCGUCUGCUGUGAAAGCCCGGGGCUUAACCCCGGGUGUGCAGUGGGUACGGGCAGACUAGAGUGCAGUAGGGGAGACUGGAAUUCCUGGUGUAGCGGUGGAAUGCGCAGAUAUCAGGAGGAACACCGAUGGCGAAGGCAGGUCUCUGGGCUGUUACUGACGCUGAGGAGCGAAAGCAUGGGGAGCGAACA
rnacentral:rRNA from 1 species